rnacentral:rRNA from 1 species
UUUGAUCAUGGCUCGAGGACGAACGCUGGCGGCGUGCCUAACACAUGCAAGUCGAACGGACGAUGGAGAGCUUGCUCUCCAAAGUUAGUGGCGAACGGGUGAGUAACGCGUGGGCAACCUGCCUUUCAGAGGGGGGACAACAGUUGGAAACGACUGCUAAUACCGCAUAACAUGAUCUGGCCGCAUGACCGGAUCAUCAAAGAUUUAUCGCUGAAAGAUGGGCUCGCGUCUGAUUAGCUAGUUGGUGGGGUAACGGCCCACCAAGGCGACGAUCAGUAGCCGGACUGAGAGGUUGAACGGCCACAUUGGGACUGAGAUACGGCCCAGACUCCUACGGGAGGCAGCAGUGGGGAAUAUUGGGCAAUGGGGGCAACCCUGACCCAGCAACGCCGCAUGAAGGAAGAAGGCUUUCGGGUUGUAAACUUCUUUUACCAGGGACGAAGACGUGACGGUACCUGGAGAAAAAGCCACGGCUAACUACGUG